rnacentral:tRNA from 1 species
GUAGCUCAGUUGGUAGAGCAAAGGACUGAAAAUCCUUGUGUCCCCGGUUCGAUUCCUGGUGGCACCA